AUUGAACGCUGGCGGCAUGCUUUACACAUGCAAGUCGAACGGCAGCGCGGGCUUCGGCCUGGCGGCGAGUGGCGAACGGGUGAGUAAUGCAUCGGAACGUGCCCAGUAGUGGGGGAUAGCCCGGCGAAAGCCGGAUUAAUACCGCAUACGACCUGAGGGUGAAAGCGGGGGACCGAAAGGCCUCGCGCUAUUGGAGCGGCCGAUGUCGGAUUAGCUAGUUGGUGGGGUAAAGGCUUACCAAGGCGACGAUCCGUAGCUGGUCUGAGAGGACGACCAGCCACACUGGGACUGAGACACGGCCCCGACUCCUACGGGAGGCAGCAGUGGGGAAUUUUGGACAAUGGGAGCAACCCUGAUCCAGCCAUGCCGCGUGCGGGAAGAAGGCCUUCGGGUUGUUAACCGCUUUUGUUCGGGAAGAAAUCCUCUGGGCUAAUACCCCGGGGGGAUGACGGUACCGGAAGAAUAAGCACCGGCUAACUACGUG
rnacentral:rRNA from 1 species